AUGUAUUCCACUUGGCUCUGUCUACGGGAUUGUAUCACAUGGCCUCCGUGUUGCCUCCUUAUUGAAAGACAUUUCCAGCCUGUGCAAGGUCAAGAGACACAGAGAAUUAAUCAUGAACCCAGUUGCCUAGAGGAGAAAAUAAUCUAUUUGUGGCAGUCUGAAAAAGCAAGAAGUUAUACGCCUCCAGGCUUCUUUGAAUUUUCCCAUCAGAGCCCCAGAGCUGACCCAACAAGCAAAAAUUUCUUCCUCAUUAGAAGACAGGGUAAGGGGGAAAGACUGGGGAGGGGGAGAUUGGUUUUUGUUUUGUUUUGUUUUAAGUUUAUUUUUACUUAUUUUGAGAGAUGGAGAGCAAGUGGAGGAGGGGCAGAGAGAGAGAUGGGGGGAGACAGAAUCCCAAGCAGGCUCCGUGCUAUCAGCGCAGAGCCCAAUGCAGGGCUCAGACUCAUGAAGUGUGAGAUCAUGACCUGUGUGAGAUCAUGACCUGAGCUGAAAUCAGAGUCAGAUGCUUAACCAACUGAGCCCCCAGGCGCCCCAAGAAAAAGGGUUUUGAAUAUAGUUUGUCGUAAUCCUCUCACACUGACAGUGCACAGAAUGCCCUCUGCACAUUUCCGUCAAUAAACCCCAUUCCAUCGCCA
rnacentral:lncRNA from 1 species